rnacentral:rRNA from 1 species
CGAACGCUGGCGGCGUGCUUAACACAUGCAAGUCGAACGCGAAAGGGACUUCGGUCCUGAGUAAAGUGGCGCACGGGUGAGUAACGCGUAGAUAACCUGUCUUCAUGUCUGGAAUAAUACGCCGAAAGGGGUACUAAUACCGGAUAUUCUUGCUUUUCAUAAGUUAUGCAAGCAAAGGUGGCCUCUGCAUAUGCUACUGCAUGAAGAGGGGUCUGCGUACCAUUAGCUAGUAGGUGGGGUAAUGGCCUACCUAGGCGACGAUGGUUAGCGGGUCUGAGAGGAUGAUCCGCCACACUGGCACUGGAACACGGGCCAGACUCCUACGGGAGGCAGCAGUGAGGAAUAUUGCGCAAUGGGGGAAACCCUGACGCAGCGACGCCGCGUGAGUGAGGAAGGCCUUCGGGUCGUAAAGCUCUGUCAAGAGGAAAGAAGUGUACAAUGGCUAAUACCUGUUGUAUUUGACGGUACCUCUAAAGGAAGCACCGGCUAACUCCGUGCCAGCCGCCGC